rnacentral:tRNA from 1 species
GGGCGGUUAGCUCAGCUGGGAGAGCACGUGCCUUACAAGCACGGGGUCAUUGGUUCGAUCCCAAUACCGCCCACCA